CUCUGCUGUUUGUCAAAGGUUAUGUUAUCUCACUGGCCCUGGGCCCUUGAGCUCCCCUUGGCUCCAAGCCCAACACUCACUGUCAACAACAUCCUUUGGUCCUUCCUGUUGUGUGCCCAGUGACCUCAUAGUUCCUGGGGUAGAGCAUUCAAGCAUUUUCAAACUAUGUAAAUGCUUAUAGGUUGCUGAAGGGAUUCCUGCAGAAGAUGGCUUCUCUGUAGUCUUAAAGUUUCAAGCCAGUGUUUCCCAACAGGGUUGCUUCAAGGCCUGUGGCCAGACAAGUAUGAACAUCUCUGGCAAGGAACAGGGGGCAUUCCCACACUGACUUUGAGAGAGCUACCACUUUGUACCAACUCUAAUCAGAAAGACACAGCAUUCAGAAGACUGGUGAAGCAGGCAGUAAACCAAUUUAGCAAGGCACGGACAGAUGAAGACUGGAUUUAUUGAAAUACACUGCAAGGAAGAAGCAGAGCAGAUGGAGCAAAGGGCGAGCCAGUGAGAAGAGACUCGGAAUCAUCUUGGACAUUUUGCUACAGUAACAGGAAACUGACUGACACGAUGCCCUUCAUCUCGACUCUUCCUUCCUGCCAUCCCUCAGUCACCCACUCAGCAGAUCCUUUUGUCGACUUCUCUCCCUGCGUGGCCAUCUGUGCCUCGAGCGUCUGUCAUUUCCGUGUUUAGUCUCCAGCCCUGUUGUCCUCAAAGCCAUUCUUUACAUUGAAGCCUGGGUGUGAUGAUUCUAAGACUCAGAACUGGGCAGGAAUUGUCUCUGUGCAAAGCCGUGCAAUGCUCCCCUUUCCCUCGGAGGCCAUACCUAUCAAGCCUCCUGUAUAGCCAAGGGCAGUGAAGCUGUGAAUGAAGCUAAACCUGAUCCAGGAAAUCCAAGCUCUUCAGGCUGCUCCCGAGAUGCCAUGUUUUAGGGUGCUGGAAUUCUUCCUGAAAGAGGAACAUCUGUGCCAGCUCCCUGGGCUCAGGACCCACUUUUGGAGUUCACUUGCUGGGUGCUGGAUGCCCAUGAACGGAGCUAUGCUGACACAGUAAGUUUGGCAGGAACUACCUCGGACAGAACAGUCUUAGUCCAUGCCAGGAAUUGUACUGGGCAUCGUACAUAUACAAACCCACCACCAGAAAAACAUCAGAAAAAUCCCAGUAGCAUUCAACAUUCCUGACCAAUUCCUCAGAGCAAGGCAAGCCUAGACACCAUCACAAGCUAUGGGAGCCUAAGGAGGUCUACGGAGUAAAUGUGGUGUCCUGGUCAGAUCCUGGAGCAGAAAAGGGGAGAGAGUUCAGAAUUAAGGAGACCUAAGUAAAGUAAGAGCCUGAGCAAACAAUAAUGGCUUCCUUUAAUCACGCACUAGUUUCAGCUGGUUAAUUAUGUCACCUUUUAUCAAGGCUGCAGAACUGAAGCCAAGGAGAUCACAGUGAGAUCCAGGAUGUGCCCAAGCCUAAGGCAGUCCUGGCUCUGCUCUGGCAUUACCUCGGCCCUCAGGCCGCCAUCUCUACAAGCAAGGCCUGUGCCCUCUGACUACGCAUCCUCGGUUCUUGAUCACACUGGGCUCCUACAGUAGCAAACCAUCUCAAGCCGCUUGUUUUAAGCCAUUUGAUCUCUCCCUCACCACCUGCCGAAUGGCCAUUUAUUUUGUUUGGUACCCAUUGAAACAAUCCUCAUUACCCCAUCAAAGAAAUCGGGUGGCAGAGGAAUGCCCUUAGUGGGAGCGUGCUCUCUGCAGCAAGUUUCCCUGCCUGGCCCCUUACAGACAUUCGGGUAAAACCUCCUUGGGCCCAACAGUCGCUCAAAGCAUGACUAUUCCUCAGGGAUUACAGUGCUCUGUGCUGAGAGGCAGCUGGGCGUGACAAUCGGUGACUACUUUCCAUGCUUGUGGGACUCUUCUCUUCACAAGAUGGCGGCUACAGAAACCCAGAAGUGCCAUCUUUGGGGGAAGCAAGGAUUGCCUUUGUGUAAACUCCCUCAGUCCUGCUUGGUUCUCCAGAGCAAGACAAUAACCACAGUUACUCCAGGCCUUUUUGUACUUCUUUCCUGCGUUCUCCACCUGAUGCAGAUCUGAGCAGCACUUCAGGGAGGAAAAGUCCGCUUUAUGAGAUAAUUGUGGAACGCCAGGCUUUAUGUGUAUGUGAUGGUUGUAUGCCAAGAAGUCGUAAACAAUCAAGUCUUGUUAGCUUAGGUUUCGAGGCAUUUGGAAUCGCUGAUCACUUGGAUAGGGUGUGGAUUUUACAGUUCAUCUUCUCUCAAGCAGAGCAUCCCCUAAGGGACGGUGUCAUUCAAUAUUGUUAACAAAACGGCAGGGGCUCGGGCUGAAGAUAUUUCGGAGGAUUAGCUUUUCCAAUGUCAUCUGUCAUCCAUGCCCUUUCGAAGCUCCCAGUUAUACACGAAGAACCAGUGCGGCUCCUCCAAAUCCUUUUCGAGGCUGAGAGCUGAGAGCCCCAGCCUAACCCUGGUGCGGCGCUUUUCCCAGCUGUGAGUACAGCUUGCCUUCUUAGGCAGUUUUAUUUGGGUUUGCUUUCUCUAUAAAGUAGGAACGUGGCCUUGCAGAAGUGCUGCAGGCGUAGACGAAGGCAGAGAUAGGAUACUGACUUCCAAACACAGAAACUGCCAUGCCUAGGUACUGCUUCGUAUGUGACGAGUGCAUUAUAAAGGUGUAGCCUUUCCAGGUAUAGGCAAGGCCUUGAGACCCACCUCUAGCACCAUGGGCAAACAAAAGGAAACACAAAAGCCAGAUUACAUUUUACACACUUAGGUUUACUAGCUAUGUUACUGGAAGUCAACCAAACUAAUUCUGAAGGGCUCAUCAGCACUGACAGGUCGACUACAUGCCCGUUCAAUAACAAUCACCUCUGAAAAGGCUGCCUUCUUUUACAUGAAAAUAAGCAAGAUGCCACUGGUUCUGUUCUGUGAACUUGAGCCCUUAAGGCCUGGCAGAGUAAGAACUGUUUGAAACUAUGCUCAUUUGGGUAUGGAGGCCUCUUUUGGAGCCAUCCAAGGCAUGAAUGUCAUGAAUGAAUACCCAUGGAGCUCAGCGCUGAGAAGCAUCCAAAGGCAGAGGUGUGCCUCUAAAAACAAUGCAGUUCAUUCUGAGGGUCCAGCUGUCGUUUUUCUGUAAAAGAAAACUAAAUGGCCUAAUUGGCUAGGUAGAGCUUUGGAUCCACGAGGCCACCACCCUCCUGCAGGAAGUGCCUGAGGUUCCCCUGGUCACCCGCACCCUCAUCUGAUUUUUAAUCCAUGCCUACAUGCAUGAAGUCCUCUAGCAAGCAAGCCACCCAGAAACUUCGCCUGCUGGCCCGGUUGAGUGACAUCAUAGUAUGGACGUGGGCAGGUUGCCGUGAAGUACAUAGCACACGCGUGCGCGCACACACACACACACACACACACACACACACACAUCACCACCCUCAGAGAAGCACUGCAUUAAGCAUCUCCACCCUAUCCUUUGGUUUCCCCAAGUACUGAGCUGUCUUAUCUGGAGUCCAAUAACAAUUCUCAUUACACAAAAUGCAUGCCAGUGUCUGGACCUAAAGACCUGUCCCAGGGCAGACAGCUCAUAAUCAGGAUUACUCUGUUUUCAGCCCCCAUCCGCCACCACCUAUUCAUCCCAUUUUAAACAAUUCGAUGAGCAAUAUUGCAUAUAUUCUCUGUGCCACUCUUUCCUCGUGGUCCAGGAGAAAUGAAAGUAAGGCUGUCAGACAACCUCUGGAAAUACAGAGUGGGCUGGAAAUAACUGUCUCUUUAAAUGAAAGAGAACAUGAAAACGAAUGAUUCCGAUCUAAGCGUGAACCGUGCUUUAUCCUGGAAGACUUAUUAGAAAGAGAGGGACAUAUAUUUCUGUUGACAUUGUAUAUUAAAUGGACUUUGGAAACCCUAUUUGUCUGUAUUAAGUAAAUAUGAUCGGUUUCCAGCUAUAUCUUCUAUUUCUUCUGCUUUUUAAAUCAAAGGGAUUAAGACUCCUAAUUAAGACACUGGAGGAAGGCCUGAUCAGUUUUUACCAGUGCAAAUUAGUUCAGAGGCCCAGAGCUGCUCUGUUCUGUUUGCUGGUAUGGGAGCCUUGUUUGAUUUAACAUGAUUGAGGAAAUGAAAUAUCCGUAAGACAAAGAGCCAACAUCGUGCUUCUGGAGAGUGGCUGCAGGGAAGUUGGAAACAAAUGCACAUCAGCGGUGAUCCAAAAUGCAACCCGAGGAGAAAUGAUAUUUAGAAAGAAAGAGAUGGGACUGGACUCAUCCUCUGAAGUAGAUUGUAGCCUCUUCUUCCUUUGUUCAUUUGUUUAACGAAGAUAAAAUGGGAUCUCAGUUGCCUAACAAGGACCAAGAAGCUUGGAAUAUUGUCUUUUCUUUCUUUGAUGCAUGUGAGGGCGGUACGUGCCUUAGCUUGUUAGUAGCCCCAACAGUUCUGUUUAGGGACAAUCACCAUCACCCCUAUUGCAGAGUUUAAGAAUCCAAGGCUCUGAAUGUGUAAACUGAUAGCAGGCCCCAUGUAACUCUCAGUUAUGGUCCCCUGUUGAUUAAUAGCCUUUAGCAGGGAUGAGGGUCCAGAGCUCUGAGAAGGAACAGGGUAGACCUGGCUACUUUGGGGUGGUGUACAGUUUGGCUCGAUCCCUGCUCACAAGACCCUGUCAGAACUGGCUGACUCUCUGUAUUGGCAAGAUGCACACAGCACUCUAGCAUCUGGUACCCUGAGAUAAGAAGCACUUCCUGGAAGGGCUGCCUUUCCCCAUAGCACUAGGUUUGUCUGCAGACCACCUAGCUUCUCUCCCCUCUCUCUUGUGUGGGUAUAGUCUUCACUAAAUCAAACCCUUGGAGAGACACCUUGACGACUUUCGUAGUAAGCAAACUCAACUGUUUAUCGUUGGUGUUAAGUAUGGUCACUAAAAAUGACAGUCUUUAGGUUGGAGAGAUGGCUUAGUGGUUAAGAAUGCUUACUGAGCAACCAUGAGGAAAUGUGCUCAACUCCCCAGCACCCAUGGCGAAUGCUGGGUAUGCUACAUAUGCCUGUAACCCCAGCAAUAUAAGGGAUAGGGACAGGAGGAUUGAUAGAGCUUGCCGGCUGCCAGCUUAGCUCUAUGUUCAGUAAGAGGCCCUACCUUGAAGGAAUUAGCAAAGAGUAUUACAGGAAGAUACCUGAUGUCUUCCUUUGGUCUUUGCACUCGUGCAUGGACACGUGUAUCUCCAUACACACAUAUGUGUACACAAUACACACGUAUACUACAUACACUCAUAUGCUACGCCCCAUAUGAAUAAACCACACACACACACAUAGACACCACAUACCACAUCACAUAUACACACCA
rnacentral:sRNA from 1 species